GGCGGCACGGCCCCGCGGGGAAGGUGAGCUCCGGGCACCCCGCCGGGCCCCGCGCCCCAGGCUGCCGGGGGGUGCCCGGCUGGGGCGGCCCCUGCCUUGCUCAGCCCAGGGGAGCCAGUGAUGCCCUAUGCGUGCCUGACGGGGUGGGUGAUGGCUGGCAGCCCUCGACUCCCCGCCCGAAAAAUAGACAGCAAGAGGGAGAAGGGAGCGGGCUUUGCAUCCGCAUGCAAAACUACCGGGUGUUGGGAGUUUGGCACCCCGGAGAGGACCAGAGCAGCGGCUGGGUUAUUUCUGAUACAACGUCUGGGCUGGAAGGGUUAUGGAGUUCACUCUCUCCAGCUAUUGGUGUGGAGGUAGAUGCCCUCGAGCUGAUGACUGCUUUGGCAAGUAGUGGAUCGUGCUUGGUGCGAGACAUAAAGCAAACAGAAGUUAUCUCUUCCCCUGGCCGCGACUGUUCCACUUGCAGUGCUUCGCUGCCAGCUGUGUGAGUGGUGUACAGCUUCCUGCUGCUGCAAAAACAUCUCUUUCUGUUUAAGAUGCAAGUUAAAUGCACCUGGAGAGCCACAGCAGCUCAUACAAGGCAGAGGCAGACAUUGGUGUCAUCACCUUUUCCACCACUUGCUAAUGCCUUUACACAUUACACUGGCACAUCCUGUGUGCUUCUGCCAUAACUGAUUCCCAGAUGGAGAGGUCUCGUGCUGAAAUGCUGCCUGCACACCUCAUCAACACCAAGGCACUUAAAAUGGUUUCAUUAUCUUGCAGCAAAGGAUGUGAAAGGAAAAUUAUUCACAUAUCUCUGUGCCUAAGAGAAAAACGUAUGAUGUCUUCGGCAGCAAUUCCUCUCAGUCAUCAGCAAGAUAGGGACCAGAAGGUCUACAUUCCUUACUGUAUUUACAGGACCAGACUCCCUCUCUGGGACUUGUAUUUCUUCUGCGUUUCUUUUCCCACGCAGAAACUGCUGUUCCAAGAAAUGAAUGAACAUUUUACUGGCUGAACUUAUCAUUUUCAUCUUAUCUGUGAAUUAAGCUAAGGGUUUCCUCCAACACAUAAGUUAUUGGGAACUCUUUGUCAUAAUCAUGUGGGAAAUAUGUCUCCAUUUACAGGACGGAUGAGCAAUUCACUGAAGGUGUUGCAAGUCAUACUGGUUGCAUGCCAGGGAACAGUCAGGUCAAAAAACCAUCACUGCAAAUUCAAAAUUUUCUUCUAGAAAAAUGUUUCAUCAUUUGUUAUUAUGCGAUCCCAGACCAGGACUUCCUGACUCAUCCCAGGAUUUAAAGUCCUAUUUUUUCCUAAAAUACCAUCUCACAGCUAUGCCCCUUCCUAUACCUGAAGGAGCUUCAGUCAGACACAGCACUGUCAAAGACAUCUUGCUCUGAGUCUGCAGCUGGGAUCUCUCCAAGAGUUUAUGGUGCCCUUCGAGGAGGAAGUGCUCUGCUGGUGGCAGCUCACGUGCCCCUUGCAUGCCAGAGGAAAGCUGGCACGAAGAGAGAGGAAUGGCCUCACAUUUGAUAAGCACACCGAGCGUUAAAUAUGGGAUACAGCCUGUCAGGAGAUAAAUUGAUUUUCUGCAAUUAUUCCAGAAUCAGCUCAUCGGCAUCUUGGACUUAGCUCGGUCUCCAAACACACUGACAAACUAAGGGCUGCCUGGUUUCAGGCCAGUUUCCUUCCAUGAAGCAGAAACUUCUCUGGUUUUAACAGCACAGAAAGUCCUGUUUCCUCCAUUUGGGUGAAACAAAAAAUCUGUAGGGAUCAGUCAGAACUUCAGCUUCUCUUACUCUGAGGAUGCAUUUUAAGGAUAAAGAAUUCAGUUUCUUAAAGCAGAAACUAUGGAUUAAAGUGUAGAAUUGAUGCCAGAAGAAAAUAUUUAUGAAGUGCAUACUCCUCAAGCCAGGCAAAAAAUGUGUCAGACCAAAACUCUGAAAGCUGAAAUGUCAAUAGGAAUUACUUAUAAAUUAA